rnacentral:rRNA from 1 species
CCAGACUCCUACGGGAGGCAGCAGUGGGGAAUCUUCCGCAAUGGACGAAAGUCUGACGGAGCAACGCCGCGUGAGUGAUGACGGCCUUCGGGUUGUAAAGCUCUGUUAAUCGGGACGAAAGGCCUUCUUGCGAAUAGUGAGAAGGAUUGACGGUACCGGAAUAGAAAGCCACGGCUAACUACGUGCCAGCAGCCGCGGUAAUACGUAGGUGGCAAGCGUUGUCCGGAAUUAUUGGGCGUAAAGCGCGCGCAGGCGGAUAGGUCAGUCUGUCUUAAAAGUUCGGGGCUUAACCCCGUGAUGGGAUGGAAACUGCCAAUCUAGAGUAUCGGAGAGGAAAGUGGAAUUCCUAGUGUAGCGGUGAAAUGCGUAGAUAUUAGGAAGAACACCAGUGGCGAAGGCGACUUUCUGGACGAAAACUGACGCUGAGGCGCGAAAGCCAGGGGAGCGAACGGGAUUAGAUACCCCGGUAGUCCUGGCUGUAAACGAUGGGUACUAGGUGUAGGAGGUAUCGACCCCUUCUGUGCCGGAGUUAACGCAAUAAGUACCCCGCCUGGGGAGUACGACCGCAAGGUUGAAACUCAAAGGAAUUGACGGGGGCCC